rnacentral:rRNA from 1 species
UACGUAGGGGGCAAGCGUUGUCCGGAAUCAUUGGGCGUAAAGCGCGCGCAGGCGGCUCGUCAAGCCUGACGUGAAAGCCCCCGGCUCAACCGGGGAGGGUCGUCGGGGACUGGCGGGCUUGAGGUCGGCAGGGGUUGGUGGAAUUCCCGGUGUAGUGGUGAAAUGCGUAGAGAUCGGGAGGAACACCCGUGGCGAAGGCGGCCAACUGGGCCGGACCUGACGCUGAGGCGCGAAGGCGUGGGGAGCGAACGGG